UACGGAGGGGACUAGCGUUGUUCGGAAUUACUGGGCGUAAAGCGCACGUAGGCGGCUUUGUAAGUCUGACGUGAAAUCUCCGAGCCUAACUCGGAAACUGCAUCGGAUACUAUCCGGCUUGAGGGUUGGAGGGGGGACUGGAAUACUUGGUGUAGCAGUGAAAUGCGUAGAUAUCAAGUGGAACACCAGUGGCGAAGGCGAGUCCCUGGACAACUCCUGACACUGAGGCACGAAAGCUAGGGGAGCAAACAGG
rnacentral:rRNA from 1 species